UGGGGGAUAUUGCACAAUGGGCGAAAGCCUGAUGCAGCGACGCCGCGUGGGGGAUGAAGGCUUUCGGGUUGUAAACCUCUUUCGCUAUCGAACAAGGCCCGCUUAGGGUGGGUUGAGGGUAGGUGGAGAAGAAGCGCCGGCUAACUACGUGCCAGCAGCCGCGGUAAUACGUAGGGCGCGAGCGUUGUCCGGAAUUAUUGGGCGUAAAGGGCUUGUAGGCGGCUUGUUGCGCCUGCUGUGAAAACGCGGGGCUUAACUUCGCGCGUGCAGUGGGUACGGGCAUGCUUGAGUGUGGUAGGGGUGACUGGAAUUCCAGGUGUAGCGGUGGAAUGCGCAGAUAUCUGGAGGAACACCGAUGGCGAAGGGAGGUCACUGGGCCAUUACUGACGCUGAGGAGCGAAAGCAUGGGUAGCGAAGAGG
rnacentral:rRNA from 1 species